AUCAUCAAGCUUGAUGAUCUCAGCCAAUCCAAUGCUUUGCCAUAGGAUUGGCUGCAAAACGCUACACCAAUCAGCAUCUCCUCAUAGAGAUGCAUUGAAUCAAUGUAUCUCUAUGGGGAACGUUCAGCACCUACAGAGUGUGGAGGCCCUGAAUGUAGGUGCACUAACACAGGAAGCACCUCUAGUGACCGUCUGAGUGACUGUCACUAGCAGUGUCACUUUGAAGCAAUGUAAAC